CCUCCCUGGCAAGACUGGGCAUGCUCCAAGUGCUCUAGUAGUAUAAAGGGAGGGAGCCCAGCUCAUUCUGGGCUGGAGGCUGCAGGGGAAGGACCUGCCUGGGAAGCUCCUGUGGAGGGGCAGCCACAGCCCCUGCCUGCACCGGGAAUCGGAGCCGCCCACGGCCUGCCUGCACCCUGGUGACUGGAGGAACUCUUGGAGACAACUGGCCCUGCCGAACACACAGGACCUGACAUCUCAUGGGAAACCCCAACACAGACUCUGGUCCAGAUAACUCACAUCUAAGAAUUUUAAAAUUGCUGGCUGACGAGCUCACUGGGCCAUUAAUGAUGAUUUUCAAUAAGUCUUGGAAUAUGAAGGAUGUUGCAAAAGACUGGAAGAAAGUUAAUGUUGUGCCAUUAUUAUGAAAAGGAACUCCAGUCAUGGACCAGAGCCCUAUUCUUUCAAUAUCAGCAUGUGAAGAAAAAUGAAAUAUGUUAUUCAAGAAAAACACAAUCAGCAACGACCACUCUGGAGAACUCCAUCAUGGUUUCAAAGAUAAACAAAUUCAAUGAAAGUCCUAAACAUUUCUAAAAGGCUUGAACACUGUGCCACUGUUUAAGCAGAGUGAAGGAAAGCAGUUUUCUAUCUGACUUCUGAAACCAUGUGUAAACCCCAUUCAGCAGCUGCUUCAAGCUACAAUUGUCCAGAAGUGGAAUAGUUGUCAACACAGUUGACCCUGCACAGAGCCUGGGAAUUUCACACAUACCUCCUCUCAUGAAAUAGCAGCGGUAUGUCGAGUUUGUAAGUCCUGCUUUUUCACCUUCCAUAAAAAGCUGCAGAGCAGGCACAGGAAUGAAGUGGCAUAAGACUGAACAAGCCCUUGGAGAGGCCAUAUGAGCCUGGGUGUGCCAACGCAUAUACAUUUUAAAAACAUUUUUUAUUAGAACUUU